GGCGGCGCGCAGGUGGCGCGGGGGACGCCGAGGCCGAACGUGAUACGGCCGGAAGGCCGGCGAGGAGGCCCACCAGGACGGGCGCAGGAAGAGGGAGGUUGGGCCGCUGCAGCUGAGGGUCCAAAAGCGGGGGACUCGGGGUCCCGGGGGAGGCCGACUCGGGGGGCCGCGCACCUGCCUCCCCGCCGGCUGCCGAUUCCUGCUGGCUGUCUGCGAGCCAUCCCGGGCCCCCGGGCGCUGCCCUGUGCGGCGGUGACCACCUGCCACCGAGGCGACGGGAACUCCCGUAACUUUUUUAUAUUCAGAUGUUGCGUUGGUAUUUUGUAUACGUUGGGCUAAAUUAAAAUGUUUGACUAGCUUCUAGAAAUUUUAAAAUAUCGGUUGUGCCUCCCACCCUAUUUUUGCUGGACGGCGCUGCCCUAGCCUGAUCCGCCGUCCCUUUCCGUCACUGCUCAAAGCCUCUGCCAGCACGUCUGCCUUUCCCUGGCAGCCCGCCCCACCCCCACCCCUGGAACAGACCGUUUGUCUCCAGGAAACCUUCCUCUUCAUUUGUAUUCGCUUCCUCUGUUGCGAAACGCCACCACCAGUAGCUUUGAGACUUCUCAUCAAUUUAAUAACAUGGCAGGAAGAAGAGAAACACGCCCACGUUAAAUGUACACGUUGGCUGUAAUAACAUCCUCAUUUCAGAAAUGGUAAGACAGAAAAAAACAUGCUUUCGUGCUUUUGAGAGUUCACAUUUGUCGAGUGGUUGCUUUUGGAGGGCAGGGCAUGUGUUCCUGUCUCUCCUGUGUGGGGCUGCCUCAACGGGUGUAUGCACUCCUGAAGGUCAAGGCCGUGUUCUCUGCUCUUCCCCCAGUGCCAGGGGAGCAAGGUUCACAGAGGUGCUUGUACCUGCUGGCGUCCGUGUCUUCACAGGGACGACUUGACAGGAGCUGGGACUUCGGGCAUAGAAAGGCGGUGAACGUGUGCCUGGCAGAUUUCGGAAGCGCUCGUGAGACCAGGGUUUAGGUGCCUAAAGAGCGGGGUUUGAGUUUCUUCUGCUGGGGACAGUGAAGAGAUCUAGACACCACGACGAUGAGUUUGUGCCAGCACGGAGGCAGCUUCGCCCCAGAGCAUACAGUCCCGACAAAGAUGAGAACGUUGGGAUCAAGGGGAGAGUGAAGCAGACAAGGGUGCAACGGCCGCGAAUGAGCCUCACUCUGGCCGAGUCUGCCUCCAUGGCUGCAGCUGAGGGCGGCCGAAACGCACCUCGAGGCGGGUGACUGGCCUCUGGCCUGACCCAGGCCCGGUAUUCCGAUACCUCAGCCACACCAACGUGCCUUCGCCUCAGGAUGCCUUUGCUCAGCUUGAAUUGGCCUCACGUACCAACCCGUGCAGGAGCAGCAGAGCGGGGGUCUCAGCUGGAAGGAGGCCUGGUUUGGGGGAGGCCCGAGACCCCCUGUUUCUGUGGGGUUGGUCCCGGAACGCAGGCUGGUUGACUGAAGGCCUCUGCAGGCCUCAGCUUUGAGGGGAGGGCCGGCUCGGUCUCAUUCUUCCUAAGACCCUCUCACAUACCUUCCAAAAUCAGCUCCAGAGAGAGGCAGUGGGGCGUGUUCACCUUGUGCCCCAGGCCAUGGGCCGGAAUGUGCCCUGGGAGGUUGGUGCCCCACCUGCCCCUGUGGUUGUGUCUCUGGGGACCCACACAACUACAGGACAUCCUCCAGGCGUCGCGUUCCCCGGAGAAGUUGCCCAUUAAAUAGCAGAUGUUUUGAUAAAUACCGUUCUCAAAAGCAGAGUUCUCAGAAUAAAACUGCCUUCCAAUGCGUGAUAGGGUUGGAAGGAGGGAUAGGGUCGGAUAGGGUGUGUGGAGGGAGUUAUGGCAGGUUCACGGACACCCCAGAAGUGCUCGCUGGGCCACUGAAAUCUGACUAGGUUCCCGGUCAGGCACUAUCCCGCGGUCCUCUUCCUGUGCAUGCUGGGGGCGAAGUGGUGAGCAUGCCCCCGGGGUGGGGGCUGCAGGCGUCCUGAUCGUGGAGUGGGACUGCACGGGGGCAUGAAGAUUAUCCUAAACCACAGUAUUCGGUGAUCAGUCACAUCAGGGGUCCUGACCUGGUGACCACGGCACCCUCCUCAGUGGAGGGGAGGGCCCAUCUUGGAGUGGAUGAGGAGGUGGCAGCUUGGGGAUUUCUGGGGGACGUGCAAGAGGACGGAAGGGAAGAGGGCCACAGACACUGGCUCCCAGACCGUAGACAGGUUCAGGGUGGAACCAGGAGGGUCAGAUUAGACUUGGGACCCAAGAGCCACGUCCUGCAGGCACCACCCUGUGUUGCCCCUCAG
rnacentral:lncRNA from 1 species